rnacentral:rRNA from 1 species
UACGGAGGGUGCGAGCGUUAAUCGGAAUUACUGGGCGUAAAGGGUGCGUAGGUGGUUUAGUAAGUUAAAUGUGAAAGGCCUGGGCUUAACCUGGGAUUGUCAUUUAAGACUGCUGGACUAGAGUAUGGGAGAGGGUAGUGGAAUUUCCGGUGUAGCGGUGAAAUGCGUAGAGAUCGGAAGGAACACCAGUGGCGAAGGCGGCUACCUGGCCUAAUACUGACACUGAGGCACGAAAGCAUGGGGAGCAAACAGG